rnacentral:rRNA from 1 species
AGGGAAUCUUCGGCAAUGGACGGAAGUCUGACCGAGCAACGCCGCGUGAGUGAAGAAGGUUUUCGGAUCGUAAAGCUCUGUUGUAAGAGAAGAACGAGUGUGAGAGUGGAAAGUUCACACUGUGACGGUAUCUUACCAGAAAGGGACGGCUAACUACGUGCCAGCAGCCGCGGUAAUACGUAGGUCCCGAGCGUUGUCCGGAUUUAUUGGGCGUAAAGCGAGCGCAGGCGGUUAGAUAAGUCUGAAGUUAAAGGCUGUGGCUUAACCAUAGUACGCUUUGGAAACUGUUUAACUUGAGUGCAAGAGGGGAGAGUGGAAUUCCACGUGUAGCGGUGAAAUGCGUAGAUAUAUGGAGGAACACCGGUGGCGAAAGCGGCUCUCUGGCUUGUAACUGACGCUGAGGCUCGAAAGCGUGGGGAGCAAACAGGAUUAGAUACCCUGGUAGUCCACGCCGUAAACGAUGAGUGCUAGGUGUUAGAUCCUUUCCGGGGUUUAGUGCCGCAGCUAACGCAUUAAGCACUCCGCCUGGGGAGUACGACCGCAAGGUUG